CCUACGGGUGGCUGCAGUGGGGAAUUUUGCACAAUGGGGGAAACCCUGAUGCAGCAACGCCGCGUGGAGGAUGAAGUCCCUUGGGAUGUAAACUCCUUUCGACCGGGACGAUAAUGACGGUACCGGAAGAAGAAGCACCGGCUAACUCUGUGCCAGCAGCCGCGGUAAUACAGAGGGUGCUAGCGUUGCUCGGAAUCACUGGGCGUAAAGCGCACGUAGGCGGCUUCUUAAGUCAGGGGUGAAAUCCUGGAGCUCAACUCCAGAACUGCCUUUGAUACUGGGAGGCUUGAGUCCGGGAGAGGUGAGUGGAACUGCGAGUGUAGAGGUGAAAUUCGUAGAUAUUCGCAAGAACACCAGUGGCGAAGGCGGCUCACUGGCCCGGUACUGACGCUGAGGUGCGAAAGCGUGGGGAGCAAACAGGAUUAGAUACCCCUGUAGUC
rnacentral:rRNA from 1 species